GUUCUUAGCUUCCUUUUCCUACUUAUCUCUAUUGUUGUCCCAUUGCAUAGAAUACCUGAAAAGACACUAAAAAGACUCGAGAAAUAACACAAAGACUCAAAAUCCUAUACCUAAAACAUAGAUAAAAUCGGUGAAAAUUGGGAUAUAUCAGUUAUCACAAGUACAAUAAUUCAAUCAUCCUAUAUUACUAGAACAAUCAUCAUAUCAUCAAUCCUAAUUAACAAUUCAUUAUUACUAAGCAAACAGAUCUAUUCCUAUGUAAUGAAUCAUGAAGCAUAAA
rnacentral:sRNA from 1 species